rnacentral:misc_RNA from 1 species
AACUGAUACUACCUGCGGGAACCUGCGGAAGGAUCAUUACUGAAGUGAUUUGGGGAUGUUGCUGGCCCUCUCUCAAGGGGGGGCACUGUGCACUCCUCGAAACAAUUCACAAUUUCCAUCACACCCCUCGUGCACACCUUGUAGGCACCCAAACCCACCUCCGGGUGGUGGGGUCCUAUGUAUUCCUUCAUCUCACACUCUGUUGAAUGGUGCCAUGGGACGCAUCUAAAGGAUUAUUUG